GUCCUGCUGAGGAGUCCCAAACUAGGACGAAACAGCUGUCCAGUAC
rnacentral:hammerhead_ribozyme from 1 species